UACGUAGGGUGCAAGCGUUAAUCGGAAUUACUGGGCGUAAAGCGUGCGUAGGUGGUUUGUUAAGUCUGUUGUGAAAGCCCCGGGCUCAACCUGGGAAUGGCAAUGGAUACUGGCAGGCUAGAGUGCGGUAGAGGGUAGUGGAAUUCCCGGUGUAGCGGUGAAAUGCGUAGAUAUACGGAGGAACACCAGCGGCGAAGGCGGGUACUGGGCCAACACUGACGUGGAUGUGCGAAAACUAGGGGGAGCAAACGGGG
rnacentral:rRNA from 1 species